CCUACGGGUGGCAGCAGUGGGGAAUAUUGCACAAUGGGGGAAACCCUGAUGCAGCAACGCCGCGUGAAGGAAGACGGUUUUCGGAUUGUAAACUUCUGUUCUUAGUGAAGAAGAAUGACGGUAGCUAAGGAGCAAGCCACGGCUAACUACGUGCCAGCAGCGGCGGCAAUACGUAGGGGGCAAGCGUUGUCCGGAAUUACUGGGUGUAAAGGGAGCGUAGGCGGGAAGCCAGGUCAGCUGUGAAAACUACGGGCUUAACUUGUAGACUGCAGUUGAAACUGGUUUUCUUGAGUGAAGUAGGGGUUGGCGGAAUUCCGGGUGUAGCGGUGAAAUGCGUAGAUAUUCGGAAGAACACCGGUGGCGAAGGCGAGCAACUGGGCUUUAACUGACGCUGAGGCUCGAAAGUGUGGGGAGCAAACAGGAUUAGAUACCCUGGUAGUC
rnacentral:rRNA from 1 species